rnacentral:misc_RNA from 1 species
AAAGGAAACAUUUAAAAAAACGAAAAAAAAUAAGUUAUAUAAGCCCGCUCUCUCUAUCAAGGGAACCAACGCUUCAGUUCCAUUAUGUCAUCCCAGGUUGUGACGGCGGAGGAGAUAGACGUCGAUUUUCUGCCCCUAAUUUACCAGUAUCUCCGUUGCUUGGAGAAGGAACAGACUGACGUUGCUCGGGUGUCUCAGGAGUCAAGCCAGAAAGUCCUUGAACUGCAGCGCAAGAUCCAGACAGCUCGUGAACAGGUGAGAAAGCUGCCAGGUGUGGAAUACAGUGGAGAGGAACAGCUCCGUCGCCUUGAGGCUCUCAGGAAGCAGCUGGCACUGAAGAAGCGACUGCUCUUGAAGUACAAAACCAAGAGUGAAGCCCCUCACUAGAAGCUAAUUUGUUAGUGUUCUCUAAUGAGCAAGAUUCAGCCUUGUUUUUGAUAUGAAGCUGAACUUGCUAUGGUUUUACGAUAUCUCCUGAGCCGGAUCCUCAACAACCCUGAAGUUAUUGAGAAGCUCUCCGAGUCAUAUCCCAUCCGCCGUGCAGCCCAAAUCACUGCUUACGCCCUGCAGCGUGGAA